UACGUAGGGUGCAAGCGUUGUCCGGAAUUAUUGGGCGUAAAGAGCUCGUAGGCGGCUUGUCGCGUCGAAUGUGAAAAACCCGCAGCUCAACUGUGGGCUUGCAGCUGAUACGGGCGGGCUGGGAUUCGGUAGGGGAGACUGGAAUUCCUGGUGUAGCGGUGAAAUGCGCAGAUAUCAGGAGGAACACCGGUGGCGAAGGCGGGUCUCUGGGCCGAUAUCGACGCUGAGACGCGAAAGCGUGGGGAGCGAACAGG
rnacentral:rRNA from 1 species